ensembl:lncRNA novel transcript
GAUAUCUGUAUCUUUGUCACUUGAGAGUUCAUGGGAAAUUUAGAGACCCAAGAGCCUGAAUUCCGGUAGUUCAGAAGUGCUCAUAAGCAAGGAAAGGAGAGUAAGAUGAUUUGGACACCAGGAAAAAUGAACACAGAGAGUGGCAGGAAAUGGAAAUAUUUUCUUCAAGUCAUAAGAAAUGGUGCCUGGCAAUGUCAAGAAGCAGCAAUUCCACUUAACUUCACGGUACUGCAAGCUACUGAAAAUGGUGUGGAACUGGUAUAAACUGGUAUAAUCUACUUGGUGCGAAGGCAAUAGUAUAUGCAACUUAAAUCAAGAAACCAAAUGCUCAGGGAAAUGCAACGUACAAAGAAGCAAUGGCAAAUAUAUAUGUGUUGUUCUACUUCAUCAAUUUUUCUUAGCUGCUAGAGCAUUUGAAAUUAUUCUGUUCACACUAAAUAUUCUUAAAAUUAUGUAAACUCUUUAA